rnacentral:rRNA from 1 species
GACAUAGGUGGCGAACGUUAUCCGGAUUUAUUGGCGUAAAGGAUGCGUAGGUGGUAGAAUAAGUUAUUGGUCGAAGUCAGGCUCAACUUGACGGAAGCUGGUAAAACUAUUCUGCUAGAGGAUAGGAGAGGUUGGCGGAACUCUAUGAGUAAGGGUGAAUCUGUUGAUCCAUGGAGGACCACCAAAAAAAGGCGAAGGCAAGCUGAACUAUUCGUAUUCCUGACACUGAGG